AACGAACGCUGGCGGCGUACUUAACACAUGCAAGUCGGACGAGAAAGGAAGCCUCGGCUUCUGAGUAAAGUGGCGUACGGGUGCGUAACACGUAAGUAAUCUACCCUGGACUCUGGGAUAACUCCCCGAAAGGGGGGCUAAGACUGGAUAGAGACCUGAGGUGCAAGACCUUGGGAGGAAAACAAGCCUCUGCAUCAUGCUUGUGGUUCAGGAUGAGCUUGUGGCCC
rnacentral:rRNA from 1 species